rnacentral:lncRNA from 1 species
CUGUACCUCGGGAGGUGUUGAAGCUGGAUUCUUCCAGUCAGGAUCCAGUUAAACGGCUUUGACUUCCUGGAAAAGGUGAGGAAAGGUGAGCAGAAGUUGGGACCUUUGGACAAGAACAAAGAAAAUGCAGCACUGCACACAGUAGGCGCCAUCUAAGUGACCAGCACCGGAGACAACACGGUCUUCUGACUCCGCUCUCCAGGGAUCCUCAGAGGUUCAAUUGCACCAUGCGGUUUCUCUCCGUCUUUCUUGCUCUUCUUGUGGCACUCUCCCAGGCCACAUGGGUGGAUGAACCACAGUAUCAGAUAGACUGCUCCCAAUUCAAAGGUGUCUGCAGGAAGCCAAAGGGCCUGCAAUGCGUGUUCCUGCCUGCAAGAUGCAAAAAUGCCAAGAAAGUUUGCUGCCUGAAGAUAACAUAGAGUAUUAGUCCCCACCCACAAGAUUCGGUGGAGACAGACAACUCAGUGACCCAGCGUGGAAUAAACCUACGCACCCCUGGCCUGCGUGCCCUGCUGUGCCAUAGCUUUCUCGACCUGGGUUUAGAGGGAGGACAGUAUCGUC